rnacentral:rRNA from 1 species
UACGGAGGAUCCGAGCGUUAUCCGGAUUUAUUGGGUUUAAAGGGUGCGUAGGCGGCCUAUUAAGUCAGGGGUGAAAGACGGUAGCUUAACUAUCGCAGUGCCUUUGAUACUGAUAGGCUUGAAUGUACUUGAGGUAGGCGGAAUGUGACAAGUAGCGGUGAAAUGCAUAGAUAUACGAAGGAACGCCAAAAGCGAAGGCAGCUCUCUGGGUCCCUACCGACGCUGGGGUGCGAAAGCAUGGGGAGCGAACAGG